UCCUGCCCAGUCCUGGUCAGAUGACAGUUACAGUAGAAUCAUUCUUUUGCCAGAACUGCAAGUCUUUUCUCAGGUGUGACCUUGAGCUUUCAGGCACCCGUAACAAUGUCUGUGGUCCCAGACUUGCACCUUCACCCUGUUCUUUGGGAGGGGCUUUGCCUCUAUCUGCAGAAAGGGUGGAGUACUAGGAAACAAGAUCUCGCUCACUGACCAACUCAAAAACAGCAAAGGAAAGGGCUGGCACAGAGAACAGAGCACUGGCUUUCCAUGAACAUUAUGUUUGUGUUCAAGGAAACCACAUAAAGGAUUUAAAUAUCCUUGGAA